rnacentral:rRNA from 1 species
GCCCAACAGCUAGCCCACCUAAACAAUUUCAACAAACCCUUGUUAAUAACCCCUAAGUACCCCAGUAUUUAAAUUAAACAAACCAUUUUUCCCCCUUAGUAUAGGCGAUAGAAAAGGAACUACGGCGCUAUAGAGAAAGUACCGCAAGGGAAUGCUGAAAGAGAAGUGAAACAACCCAGUAAAGCCUAAAAAAGCAGAGAUUCAAGCUCGUACCUUUUGCAUCAUGAUUUAGCGAGUGUACCCCAAGCAAAGCGUACUUUAGUUUGACGUCCCGAAACUACGUGAGCUACUCCAAGACAGCCUAUUAAUAGGGCGUACCCGUCUCUGUGGCAAAAGAGUGGGGCGAGCUUUGAGUAGAGGUGAUAAACCUACCGAACCUAGUUAUAGCUGGUUGUCCAAGAAAUGAAUAGAAGUUCAGCCUCUUGGCUUCUCUUUUCGCCCUAGUCUAACCCCUAUUGAUGCACGAAGAAACCGAGAGAGUUAGUCAAAGGGGGUACAGCCCCUUUGAAUCAAGACACAACUUUACCAGGCGGGU